AGAGCUGUCUGCCUGCCUAAAACAUAAAGACUUACAGCGAGGCGAUUGAAAAAUAAGUCGAAUGGUUCACAAGCACCGCUCCAUUCCUGGGAUUUUGCUUCAUCGUUCAACC
rnacentral:ribozyme from 1 species